CAGGAAGAAGAAAAGUGAAACAUUUUCUACAGAACCAGCAAGCAAGAUGGCAGCUCUAAACAGACCACAGACUAAAAUGUAUCCAUUCAGCCUGUUGUUUGUUUUUUUGGUGCUCCCGUAUCAAGCUUGGUUAGCAUGCUCUCCCAUCAAGAAAAUGGUCAGGUGUGAAGAUUUGAGGACAGCAAAUGGAUAUGUGUACCUAUAUGAAACUCUGGCUGGAUCUGGAAUUGAGGUGUACUCAAACAAUACUCCAAUAGCCUACCGUGGCAUGAACAAGCCUUUUGAUGCAAAUGUUUCUGAUAAGGUGAUAAGUGUCAACAACAGUGCUGUCAUCCUCUCUGAAUGCCUGAAUCUGACAUUGACAUUCUUUCAUGUUCUCCAAGGCGUGGUUGAGGAGUGCCAUUUGCAUUACAUUGUUGCAGAGAGGGAGCAUGAGGCUGUGACAACUAUCACUCUGACUGACAAUCUGACUGACACCUCGGACGACAUGUCAGGAAAUGGAGACAAAGCCAAAGCCACUACCCACACAAAGGAAAUCACUGCUGGUGUUCUGGUUAUCUUGGUUCUGCUGCUGGGAAUUGCUGGUUUCUUAGCGUACAGAUAUGCUGGUUUCUUAGCGUACAGAUAUGGCUGCAUUCCUUGGAGAGACAAACAUCGAUUUGCUCUUGCACAGCCAGCUUGGCUGGGUCGGGACUACCUUAACACCAACAGGGAAAACCAGAGGGACAACGGAGAUCCUGAUGAUCCAGCUGCUGAGGACGCUGAAUCUCUCCGAUCUGUGCUUGUCGUUGGCAGGGACCAGGGGGAUGGGGUGGAAGAGGAGAGGGAGCCACCACACAGUCAGGAGACACAUGUUGAGUCCUCUCUGCUGAAUGGACAUCUUGUGAACAGCAGUCAAGGAGAGAGCGGUGAGCCAAGCGAGAGGUUCGUUCAGCCAAUGGGCAGUGAGGGAACAGAUACUGAAUUCUCUCAGAAGAGACAUGCUGGAUUUCCUCUGGUGAAUGGAAACCAUAAGGCCAGGGUUAAUGAUCAGACUAAGGAACCGACUACUGGUGCACAGAGUCCAGGACCUCCUCAGAUGAAUGGAGGACCUCCCAUGUCUGACAGGUUGGAGAACAACCCUGUUGGUCAGCGGAUGAAGAAAACUGCUCUGGUGAACAAGCAGGACCAGGACUGGUCAACAAUGGCAUGAAGCCAGUUGAAAAUAUAUAGCAUAUAAGAUGAAACUAAGUGUAAAUAUAAUAAUAUAUAACAUGAUAUACACUGUAAUAUAAAACAGUAUAAUAUAAUAUAAUAUAAUAUGAUAUAAUAUCGUAACACUUACUUGAAGCUGCUUCUUCUAUAGUGUUAUAUAUUCUAAUGAAUGCAUUCUUAACAACAUGAAUGAUGCAUUAAUGCAUUCAUAGGACAUAACUGUAUAGUAAAAUGCUAGUAUACUGUGCUGGUAAGCUGCUAGCUGUGGGGUUGCCCCCAGCUGUGGUUUCUAUUAUUCAGAGUAUCUACGCUCAACUGUGGUUCAAAUCCAAAGUUUUUAGCUUAGUUGUUACCGUAAACUGGCCCUUCUUAGAGACAAAGUUAUGGAAAAUGCUGUAUAACUACUUACCAUUCUGAAGUGUAACAGUCAGGUUUUUAUGUAACAACUGUUAAUCCCUUUUUUAAAUGUUUAUUUAUAUAUUUGUUUGCUUUGAUUUGAUUGAAUUAGUAUGACUAAUGCUUCAAUGACCAUGCAUUAUUUUACCCUCCCGUAUAGAGGGAUAUUAUUUUACCCUCCCGUAUAGAGGGAUAUUAUUUUACCCUCCCGUAUAGAGGGAUAUUAUUUUACCCUCCCGUAUAGAGGGAUAUUAUUUUACCCUCCCGUAUAGAGGGAUAUUAUUUUACCCUCCCGUAUAGAGGGAUAUUAUUUUACCCUCCCAUAUAGAAGGAUAUUCUUUUAGUGACUAAAACAUUUUCCAUUAUUUGUAUGCAAAAUAUGUUUAAUUAAAACAUAUAUAUUUCUUCUCAUACCACAUGCUGUAUUUUCUUCAAAUAUAAUUGGAGCACAGAGACACCCUUUAGGAGCGGAAGACAAUCUGCUCAUCUAAUAUCCUACUUGGCUUAGAUGAGAAAGGGAAUGCAGAGAGGUGUGAAAGAGAGGACACUACUCUGUAGCAAACACUAACAGAGAGAAGGAGAGAACACUGUGGUGCAUAGAUAGAGGGGGGGGGGAAUAAAGGAGAAUCAUAGCCUACUAUCACUACCUUGACACAUACUGUAUAAUAGAGGAACAUAGCUAAUUCCAAACACUUGAGGGCAGUAAAGAACCAGGAAGAACCCAGUGACAUCACCAGUGCUGGUUCAGUCUUAGUUUAAUA
rnacentral:lncRNA from 8 species